CAUGCCGCGUGUGUGAAGAAGGCUUUCGGGUUGUAAAGCACUUUCAGUCGGGAGGAAAGCUGUAGGUUAAUACCCUGCAGUGUUGACGUUACCGGCAGAAGAAGCACCGGCUAACUCCGUGCCAGCACCUUCGGUGACUGAGCGGGCUGGCAAGGCGCAUA
rnacentral:rRNA from 1 species